UGUGACGUCGCAGCGUCGGUGCCACGGUUGUCUCGGGGUGAGGCAGCAUUAAGAAAUUGAAAAGAGGCCAGAUGAGAAAUUCAUAGAAGGCUUCAUGGGACUUGUGCUGCAGCACAACAGAGAGAAAACAUAUAACAAGUUCCCUUUUUCACUCCGAGAGGAGGGGCCUAGUUUUGGAGUCAGAGAAGCCUGUAUUCUAUUCUGGGGUCUUUCACCUACAAGCUCCGUCAUUUUGGUUCCACUGGUUUUUGGGAAAGUAAGCAACUAGAGGGAAAGGUCCACACAGAACUGCCGCCAUUUCUGACACCAAUUACUGGAAAACCCGACCCUCAAAUUCAUAUGAAAUUUCAAGGGGCCCAAAUAAUCAAAACAACAUUGAAAAAGGAAAACAAAGUUUGAAGACUCAAACACCCCAAUUUGAUCCACGAGGACACAGGGUAGUGUCAAGUUGGAUGAACUUCCACGCUGGCUCAAAAGCAAUGAGGUAGAAUUAGGUGGUUCCCAGGCAGUGUUGUUCACCAGUCAGCUUUGUACCUUCCUCCAUGUUAUCAGGACCCAAUGCUGAACUUCCAACGCUACUCAACAAACUGUAGCAACUGGGUGGUGCUAGCUGAUGCUCUGUUUUUCCUCCUUCAUCCUCCCCACCUGUUCUAACUAGGCUGAAUAGAGAGCUUAACUUUCAUGCCCAUCCAGUGAAAAUGAGGUGGGUGUCAGUGCUCCACUUUUGCUUGAGUGGAAUCUGUGGAGCUCAUUAGGGUGCAGAAUAUCCACUCCAACCUGGAUUUCCUAGCUACACCUACAAAGGGUGACUGCCUACAAAAUAGAAGGAUAAAGAGGACCUAUUCUGUUGAUACCCAAAAUGUCCAGAAUAGAACUAAAAAUCCUUCAUCAUAUGAAACAAGAAAAUUUCAAGCCGAAUGGAAAAACAAGACAUAUCAACACCAUGAUGACUAAUUUAUCUGACAAAUUCAAAACAGUAAUCUUAGAAAUUCUUCAGUGAUGGAGUUCCCAUCAUGGCUCAGUAGUUAACGAAUCCAACUAGGAACCAUGAGGUUGUGGGUUCGAUCC